AUGCUUCCUCUUCAACGACCCGAUCUUUUCAAAGGAGGACUUCUAAAGCCUUGCCGGGGAGUAUUGUUGUUUGGGCCACCCGGAACUUGCAAGACAAUGGUUGCUAAGGCUAUAGCAAAUGAUGCCGGUGCCAGCUUCAUCAAAGUCCUAAUGUCCACCACCACAUCGAAAUGGUUUGGGGAGGACGUAAAAAAUGUCCGAGCAUUGUUCAGUUUGGCUGCAAAAGUGGCUUCUACUAUUAUCUUUGUGGACGAGGUAGAUAGUACGUUGGGGCAGCGCGCACGCUGCAGUGAGCAUGAGACGUUUGACAACUCCCCCCAAGGACUACUCUCUCUCGCCCCCACGUCGCUCCAACAGGGGCGACACGGGCGGCUAACCCUAGCCGCCGCCGGCGGCCUCCCCUCCCCUUCCUCUCCUCCUCGUUGCCACCAGAGGAGCCGCUGA
rnacentral:rRNA from 1 species